UACGUAGGGGGCAAGCGUUGUCCGGAUUCAUUGGGCGUAAAGAGCUCGUAGGCGGUCUGUCGCGUCGAUCGUGAAAACUUGGGGCUUAACCCUGAGCUUGCGGUCGAUACGGGCAGACUAGAAUUCGGUAGGGGAGACUGGAAUUCCUGGUGUAGCGGUGAAAUGCGCAGAUAUCAGGAGGAACACCGGUGGCGAAGGCGGGGUCUCUGGGGCCGAUAUUGACGCUGAGGAGCGAAAAGCGUGGGGAGCAAACAGG
rnacentral:rRNA from 1 species